GGGGCCGUAGUGUAGCUUGGCUAGCACGGCGGGCUCCAGACCCGCAAACCCGGGUUCAAAUCCUGGCGGCCCCACCA
rnacentral:tRNA from 1 species